rnacentral:snRNA from 1 species
UGAAUUGAGUUAAAUAACUGCAGG